GGGCUGUUAGCUCAGUUGGCAGAGCGGUCGGCUCAUAACCGAUUGGUCGUAGGUUCGAGCCCUACACAGCCCACCA
rnacentral:tRNA from 1 species